GGGGAAGGAUCUUAUUGCACUUGGGCUGUUCAGAAUGUAGAAAGGACAUAUUUGAAGAAAUAUCUAUUUGAGCACUGAUUUACUAUGUAAAAAGCAAAAUCUCUCUGUCCUAAACUAAUGGAAGUGAUUCUCCCACGCUCACGUGUAAUGGUUUUAACGUUACUCACUGGAGAGAUUGGACUUUCUGGAGUUAUUUAACCACUAUGUUCAGUAUUUUAGGACUUCAUGAUAAUUUAAUAUAAAUUUAGCUUUUCUUAAUCAC
rnacentral:lncRNA from 1 species